GAUUUAUAAAGAAGCGUGGAGAGACAGGCUCUAUGAAGCGCUAGCAACCGGCCACUCAAGGUGGUAAGGUGCUAAAUCCUGAUCCGUCGGUUGGCGGAGAAUAUAAAUU
rnacentral:ncRNA from 3 species